AAAUAGGCUGUGGACCAUCUUUCUCUCCCUCUCCUGGUGGCUUCCUUCCUCCAUGAGCGGCGGCGCCGCCGUCCUUGUCUCCAGGGGAUUCUUGUCGCUGCCACCCCCUCACCCAUCCCAGUCACCUGACGAGCGCCGCUGCCCAAGUCACCACCGCCCCCACAGUCACGGCCGCCCCUCCUCAUCAGGGAGAUCCUGGCCAAGCUCGCCGGACGGCCACGCCUCCCAGGUCGUCGUUCCACGACCUCCGCACGGUCCUCUCAAUUUUCGUUCCCCGCGCGUCCACCGUCCUCGUUUUACCCCAUGAGUUGCUCCCCAACGCCCUCUUCCCCGUCUGCGCUGCUCCGCCGCCGCCGGGAACGUUCGCGCGUCUCCCAGCUCAUCUGCGCUACUCCACCGCCGCCGGGGACGUCCGUAUGCCCAGCUCGUCUGCGGUGCUCCGCCGCCGCCGGGGACGUCCGCGCGUAUUCCAGCUCCAAGGCCGCUGUCGUCCACGCUAAUGACGCCUUCUCGGUACGACUUGAUUUGCAUACUCUCUCGUGCAGACUGAACUGAGAACCAUUUCCUAUUUGCAGGCUUUGAGGCGCCAAACUUGAGGUAAUUCUAUUCCGUUCCAGAAUUUUGUCAACUGUGUACCAAACUACCAAUAGAUUCACACAGGCGUAUAGUAGCUUUCGUUAACAUCACUCCGAAAUGCGCUGGGCUCGUUAGCUAUAUACUGACAAAUUAGAUUGAUAGGGGAAAUACACAUGUUCUCUCAGUCUUUCUGUGAAGUGUAUUUACUUAAUGUUAGUGCUAACUGCUAACCUUCAUUCAUGAACGACCACUGCUGCUAAUACCUAUUAUUUGCAUAGACCCAGUAAACUAAACUUUUCCCAUGUAGCUGUCAGCGUUUAUCAUAGUAAGGAGCGCUCUAAAGUAUAAAGCUAGAUUGCGACAACAGUUUCUUGUUUUGGACUUUGCAGUAUGUAAUUGGCAGAUCAGAUGAGGACUUGCAAACACCCUUUGGCAUUGAAAUUCUGGACAAACUAACUCAGACUUGGGUUGUGCCAACAGUAGUUGGGGCUUAGCCUCCAUCCAAGUUGCACGAAGCAAUUCUUGUAAAGGAUGAGAAGAUAUUGGUUGUUGAGAACUGGACAAAAUCCUACAGAAAAAAGAUUGAGGAACCGGCUGUCUUGCAUUUUGCUUGCACUUAAACUGGAGUAGCAAUUUCUGCUCACCCAUUUGUCUUUCCCUUUCCCGCUAGUUGAAUGUAUCAUUUUGUUGUGUGAAUGUUGUGGAGCAGCAAAUAUUCUCAUCAACAUUCUAUGAGGAAACAUCGCAAUGUAACUGAGAUUCCAUAUUGUAUUUUAUUUCAUUGUUUGGAAAUGGGAAAGCUGCAUUGCAUCUGUCUUUCCGUUUCCUGCUAGAAUGUAUGCCCUCCGCUCCUGAAUAUAACACGUUUUGAGAGUUCA